AUUGAACGCUGGCGGCAUGCCUUACACAUGCAAGUCGAACGGUAACAGGUCUUCGGAUGCUGACGAGUGGCGAACGGGUGAGUAAUACAUCGGAACGUGCCCGAUCGUGGGGGAUAACGAAGCGAAGGCUUUGCUAAUACCGCAUACGAUCUACGGAUGAAAGCAGGGGACCGCAAGGCCUUGCGCGAACGGAGCGGCCGAUGGCAGAUUAGGUAGUUGGUGGGAUAAAAGCUUACCAAGCCGACGAUCUGUAGCUGGUCUGAGAGGACGACCAGCCACACUGGGACUGAGACACGGCCCAGACUCCUACGGGAGGCAGCAGUGGGGAAUUUUGGACAAUGGGCGAAAGCCUGAUCCAGCCAUGCCGCGUGCAGGAUGAAGGCCUUCGGGUUGUAAACUGCUUUUGUACGGAACGAAAAGACUCUGGUUAAUACCUGGGGUCCAUGACGGUACCGUAGGAAUAAGCACCGGCUAACUACGUGCCAGCCGCCGCGGUAAGAC
rnacentral:rRNA from 1 species